rnacentral:lncRNA from 1 species
GGCUAACCCAGAAAACACAGAUGGUUCUCUUUCUAGUGUGUCAUCUUUUCAACCUGGAGCACAGAGCAUGAUGACGGAAGAGAAACAAUUAUUUUACGUGUCCUGAUGAAAUAGAGAAUCCUGGCUGCAUCCUUGGGUGAUCCAGUCUUCAGUUUGUGAUAUGUUACCGUGUCUUCAGAAAUGCACUAGUAAAAUCUGAUUUCAAAGGAAAUGCAAACUUCCUUCUCAGGAAUAUGAUGAAGAGCCUGGAGGGCUGCAUGAGAGGAUGCAGAGGAGAACACGCUUGGGGAUAUGGGCUUGAAUCACUGAAUUUCAUUAGUCUACACCUAGGUCUGGACCUAGACUGCAGAUUGUGGUUUCUGAGUUAAUAUUCCUUUGGAGUCUGGAUCCUUGUUGAAGACCACGGGUGCCUGAUUUAAUAUCCACUUCUACCACUUUCUGUAUCUUUAUUAGUCUUGAAGUUUGCUGAAGUAUUAAUAUGCUUGUGCUGGCUCCCAGGUGGAGUCACAGCUUGGUUCCUAUAAAUUAUUAAUCUCGGGGAACAGACGCUGGCUUCAAAUAUUAAUUUGAGUAAACUUUGCCAGUUUACAGAGUAACUUAUGUGAGUGGAACAUUGCUUAUCACCCUGUGUGAAUAAGAAUCAGCAAUACAAUGCCUUGUCUGGAAGUUCCCCCUGCUUUCAGCAUACUGCCCCUCUCCAAGGGGCAGAACAUCACUGGGUUGGAGAGCCUAGUACCCAUCACCAGGGCCUUUUGCUGUGAUAUAUAAAUGUCAAUGAGGCUAAGAAUCUCAAACUCAGCAUUUUGACAGGGAGUAAACAGAUUACUUUUCCAGACAAGGAAAUCAAGGCACAGUGCACAGUAAGUGUAUCGCCAGGAUAAUGAGGUCCAGAACCGAACUUCAGCCUUCGGUCUUCUGAUCUGAUGGCUGUUUUCUAAAUGUCCAUCCUGACAGUCCCUGUAUGUGCUCAUUAAAGAUGCAGACUCCCAAACCUUUAGUGUGGGACUAGGAUUCUACCUUACUAACAGGGGCAAGCUUUGGAAAUGGCAGUGCUCAGCUCCAACAUCCUCCUUGCUGGCCUGGAGCCUUUGCAGUUGGAUAAAUGAACUUGAACCUAGAGCUGCUUCUGGCCUCUUUUUAACCUUGUGUUUCUAAUCUCCCCUCCCAAAGCAGCCUUCUUUACCACAGUGUCCUUUGUCGCCACUACUGUGCCUCUGCGCAUGCUCAUUAUCCAAACCUCCCCUUCCUAAGGCUUCCUAGGCUCUCAAUGUGCCUGGUCAUUCUGCUCAAGGUUUCUUUUUGAUGACCCAACCUUUGCCUUUGAACAGACAUGUAUCUUUGUCCCAGGCCUUCACUACCUUCUGUUCCUUAGUCAUUGCUUUAAAAAAAAAUCGCCCCCCUCCUCUGUCUUUCAGUCUUUCUGUUUCUGUAUCUCUCUGUCUCCUUGUCUCUGUCUCUUAGUCUCUUUCUCUCCUCUCUUUGUUUUUAAAGAUGGAAUCUUCUUAUGUAGCUAAGGCUGACCUUCAACUCAUAUUCUCCAGAAUGCUGGGAUUACAGGUAUGUUGCACCACACACCAGCUUCAUUGUUUUCUUAUCCUUUAAUUUUGACAGGAUGUCACAUUUGUCUGUAGUAUUGUCAUGAUAACUACUGUAUGCUUGUCUUCAAACUUGUCUAGUGCUGUUUACAUUAAACCACUCAAAUUUACUGCAGAAGAAAUGACUGCUAUGUGUGUCACCAAAAGUGGUUAUAUUUUAAUCUAAACACUCAUGAAGUUGAUUCUGUUAACAGCUGCCCAUGGCUGUUGAAUUGCAGAGGGUCACCUCAUUGAAAUACUAUUCUAAGACCCUCCUUGUCUUCUUUUGGCACUGCCUGGUGUUGGACUCCGGGUCAUAGCUUCAGGUCCUAGUCUGUUUUCUACAAGGCCAAAUGAUGGUUCACAGAACACUAAUUCCAUUGGGAAAAACUCUUGAUUUCUGCCAUUAUCUGAGUCAAAGUCAGAUGUGUUCAUCUCCUACAUGAUGACAAAUUGAUUCAAGGACUUUGGCUCGGAAGCUGUUGCUGGAGGAUCCAAGCCCAAAUUAGAUGCAAAAAAAAUGAGCAGCUGUGUCUGCUGCUGUGGUCUGAAUACAUGACACUUCGAAG